rnacentral:rRNA from 1 species
UACGAAGGGGGGCUAGCGUUGCUCGGAAUCACUGGGCGUAAAGGGUGCGUAGGCGGGUCUUUAAGUCAGGGGUGAAAUCCUGGAGCUCAACUCCAGAACUGCCUUUGAUACUGAGGAUCUUGAGUUCGGGAGAGGUGAGUGGAACUGCGAGUGUAGAGGUGAAAUUCGUAGAUAUUCGCAAGAACACCAGUGGCGAAGGCGGCUCACUGGCCCGAUACUGACGCUGAGGUGCGAAAGCGUGGGGAGCAAACAGGG